rnacentral:rRNA from 1 species
CUUCGGGGUCCUAGGUGACAGGUGGUGCAUGGUUGUCGUCAGCUCGUGUCGUGAGAUGUUGGGUUAAGUCCCGCAACGAGCGCAACCCUUGUCUUUAGUUGCCAUCAUUAAGUUGGGCACUCUAGAGAGACUGCCAGGGAUAACCUGGAGGAAGGUGGGGAUGACGUCAAAUCAUCAUGCCCCUUAUGCUUAGGGCUACACACGUGCUACAAUGGGUAGUACAGAGGGUUGCCAAGCCGUAAGGUGGAGCUAAUCCCUUAAAGCUACUCUCAGUUCGGAUUGUAGGCUGAAACUCGCCUACAUGAAGCUGGAGUUACUAGUAAUCGCAGAUCAGAAUGCUGCGGUGAAUGCGUUCCCGGGUCUUGUACACACCGCCCGUCACACCACGGGAGUUGGAGACGCCCGAAGCCGAUUAUCUAACCUUUUGGAAGAAGUCGUCGAAGGUGGAAUCAAUAACUGGGGUGAAGUCGUAACAAGGUAGCCGUAUCGGAAGGUGCGGCUGGAUCACCUCCUUUCUAAGGA